rnacentral:rRNA from 1 species
CCCUUAGAUGUUCUGGGCCGCACGCGUGCUACACUGAGUGGAUCAGCGGGUCAGGUUGCGCGAAAGUGUUUCCUAAUCUUGAAAUCCGCUCGUGAUGGGGAUUGACGGUUGCAAUUUUCCGUCAUGAACGAGGAAUACCUUGUAAGCGCGGGUCAUCAUCCCACGCUGAAUACGUCCCUGCCCUUUGUACACACCGCCCGUCGCUCCUACCGAUUGAGUGGUCCGGUGAGGCUUUGGGAUCUGAGCAAAGAGAGCGUUUCGCUCGUUUUGCCCGGAAAACUCAGUCGAACCUUAUCAUUUAGAGGAAGGAGAAGUCGUAACA